AGCUAGUUGGUGAGGUAAUGGCUCACCAAGGCAAUGACACCUAACUGGUUUGAGAGGAUGAUCAGUCACACUGGAACUGAGACACGGUCCAGACUCCUACGGGAGGCAGCAGUGGGGAAUAUUGCACAAUGGACGAAAGUCUGAUGCAGCAACGCCGCGUGGAGGAUGACACAUUUCGGUGCGUAAACUCCUUUUAUAUAGGAAGAUAAUGACGGUACUAUAUGAAUAAGCACCGGCUAACUCCGUGCCAGCAGCCGCGGUAAUACGGAGGGUGCAAGCGUUACUCGGAAUUACUGGGCGUAAAGAGCGUGUAGGCGGGUAAAUAGUUGGAAGUGAAAUCCUAUGGCUCAACCAUAGAACUGCUUCCAAAACUGUUAACCUAGAAUGUGGGAGAGGUAGAUGGAAUUUCUGGUGUAGGGGUAAAAUCCGUAGAUAUCAGAAGGAAUACCGAUUGCGAAGGCGAUCUACUGGAACACUAUUGACGCUGAGACGCGAAAGCGUGGGGAGCAAACAGGAUUAGAUACCCUGGUAGUCCACGCCCUAAACGAUGUACACUAGUUGUUGUGGCUAGACCUUGCAGUAAUGCAGUUAACACAUUAAGUGUACCGCCUGGGGAGUACGGUCGCAAGAUUAAAACUCAAAGGAAUAGACGGGGACCCGCACAAGCGGUGGAGCAUGUGGUUUAAUUCGACAUACGCGAAGAACCUUACCUGGUCUUGACAUAGAAAGAACUUUCCAGAGAUGGAUUGGUGCCUGCUUGCAGGAGCUUUCAUACAGGUGCUGCACGGCUGUCGUCAGCUCGUGUCGUGAGAUGUUGGGUUAAGUCCCCCAACGAGCGCAACCCUCGUCGUUAGUUGCUAACAGUUCGGCUGAGAACUCUAACGAGACUGCCUACGCAAGUAGGAGGAAGGUGAGGGCGACGUCAAGUCAUCAUGGCCCUUACGACCAGGGCUACACACGUGCUACAAUGGGGUAUACAAAGAGCAGCGAUACGGUGACGUGGAGCGAAUCUCAAAAAUGCCUCCCAGUUCGGAUAGUAGUCUGCAACUCGACUACUUGAAGUUGGAAUCGCUAGUAAUCGUAGAUCAGCUAUGCUACGGUGAAUACGUUCCCGGGUCUUGUACUCACCGCCCGUCACACCAUGGGAGUUGAAUUCAUUCGAAGCGGGGAUGCUAAAAUAGCUACCUUCCACAGUGGAUUUAGCGACUGGGGUGAAGUCGUAACAAGGUAACCGUAGGAGAACCUGCGGUUG
rnacentral:rRNA from 1 species